rnacentral:lncRNA from 1 species
CGCGGGUAUAAGAUUUUCAGAAAAAAAUAAACUUUUAUUUUACAUUACAAAUUCUAUCAAUUACCUUCAGUAGUUGUUACUUUAUCAUAUGGUACAAAAAUUAUUCCAAUAAAUCAAUUCGUGUUGACCCCAGGUGACUUUUAAAAUGUCGAUAUCAUUGAAAAAGCUCUAAAUUAUCUCCCUUUGGUUAAAAAAUGCCAUUUUU